AAAUUUAAAGAAUAAUUAAAAUUAAAAGUAUCUGUUCUUAUCAGUUUAAUAUCUGGUACGUCGUCACUGUCCGCUUCAUAUAUACUAAACUUGAUUUUUGGCAUUAGGUCAUGGGAUCAUAGCUUUACCUUGCCCUGAGCACAGGUUGCCUCUGCUUUGCUCUACUGCCCAGAUUAAAGAUAAA